AGGAUUAACGCUGGCGGCGUGCCUAACACAUGCAAGUCGAACGAGGUAGCAAUACCUAGUGGCAGACGGGUGAGUAGCGCGUGGUCAACCUACCGUUGAGUAGGGGAUAACUAGCCGAAAGGUUAGCUAAUACCGCAUACGUCUCCGAGGGGCAUCCCUUGGUGAUAAAAGGAGCAAUCCGCUCGAUGACGGGACCGCGUCCCAUUAGCUAGUUGGUAGGGUAACGGCCUACCAAGGCAUCGAUGGGUAGCUGGUUUGAGAGAGCGACCAGCCACACUGGGACUGAGAUACGGCCCAGACUCCUACGGGAGGCAGCAGUGAGGAAUUUUCCGCAAUGGGCGAAAGCCUGACGGAGCGACGCCGCGUGUGGGAAGAAGGCCUUCGGGUCGUAAACCACUGUCGAAGGGGAAGAUAAUGACGGUACCCUUGGAGGAAGCCCCGGCUAACUACGUGCCAGCAGCCGC
rnacentral:rRNA from 1 species